rnacentral:tRNA from 1 species
GCUUUAAUAAUAUAAUUUUAAUAUAUCAAUUUUGUAAAUUGGAAAAGGGUUUCCUUAAAGCU